rnacentral:rRNA from 1 species
UGGGGAAUUUUGGACAAUGGGGGAAACCCUGAUCCAGCCGUCCCGCGUGUGCGAUGAAGGCCUUCGGGUUGUAAAGCACUUUUGGCAGGAAAGAAACGUCAUGGGUUAAUACCCCGUGAAACUGACGGUACCUGCAGAAUAAGCACCGGCUAACUACGUGCCAGCAGCCGCGGUAAUACGUAGGGUGCAAGCGUUAAUCGGAAUUACUGGGCGUAAAGCGUGCGCAGGCGGUUCGGAAAGAAAGAUGUGAAAUCCCAGAGCUCAACUUUGGAACUGCAUUUUUAACUACCGGGCUAGAGUGUGUCAGAGGGAGGUGGAAUUCCGCGUGUAGCAGUGAAAUGCGUAGAUAUGCGGAGGAACACCGAUGGCGAAGGCAGCCUCCUGGGAUAACACUGACGCUCAUGCACGAAAGCGUGGGGAGCAAACAGG